rnacentral:rRNA from 1 species
GACGGAGGGUGCAAGCGUUGUUCGGAUUGACUGGGCGUAAAGGGCGUGUAGGCGGUUGGCCAAGUCUGAUGUGAAAGCCCGAGGCUCAGCCUCGGAAGUGCGUCGGAAACUAGUCGGCUGGAGCGCGAUAGAGGAGGGUGGAAUUCCUGGUGUAGCGGUGAAAUGCGUAGAUAUCAGGAGGAACACCGGCGGCGAAGGCGGCCCUCUGGAUCGUUGCUGACGCUGAGGAGCGAAAGCGUGGGGAGCGAACAGG